GCUACAGAUAAUAGCAACAUUUAAUUCACUAAACAACCCAACAAUUUUAAGAAGCGAGAAGGAUGUCUUGUUGUAGGGAUGUCAUGUGACGAAAAAGUGAAGAUGCAAGUGCUCUGCUGUAAAUAGGAGGAAUGCGUUUCUUAUACCAUCGGUCUAUUCACUUCAAAAUUUCGAUUUUUCUCGUCCCUCUCACCAUUUCUCCCUCUACAACCCACUCCUUCGCAGAUGUUUUGUUUAUAUGAGAGCCAGAACCUUUUUAAUGAGUUGAAAAGGUUGAAAUAAAUUUAAAAAAAUCAUGUGCCUAUUUGGCCAGCCCAAAAUGCUCCCAGGAACUGACUAAAUCGGUUCUUCUCUGUAUACAAUAGACUGGUAACGUCCAUAAAUUACGACACACUAAGGAAGCAAUGGGUCAGCGAAAGUAAAAUAAUCCUAACUCAGACAAAAAUUGUAGAGGUCUCAUACACAAAGUGUGCCAUAUGAUGAAUAAUUGGUUGGAAAUGGAUUUUUUUUCGUGACGUAAAUUAUGGACAUUCCCUUAUUAAAAUUUCAGGCUACGCCACUGCUCCACAUAACAAUAUUUUUUUAAUUAUUUUUUUAUGAUUCGAUUAUCCGGAGGAUUUGAUUAACCGGAGUGAAAUAAAAAUCGAUACUCCGGAUAAUCGAGUCCGACCUGUAUUAACUAAAUGCACUUUCGGGUGAUUUGUGCAUCAUGAACAUAUUUCGGGCUUGGGAGUACACUACAUUCCAUAAGCCAUAUAACAAUUCCAUAUUAGCUGAAUGAACUUAAAUAUUACUUCGUUAUUUAAUAAAAAAUCAAAAACCAAAAAGUGAGGAAAUGCUUCCAGUUUCGCCUUAAGGAGUUCAACCAGUCAACAGUAGAAUCUUCCACGACAUUUGGGAACAACAAGAACCCCCACAAACACGAAACUUAAGCGCUGCUGCUAAUUCAACGACACACGUAUGGUUGUUAUAUAGGAUCACGAUACGUAUUUAAGGACUAUGUAACGGGAAGCUACUGUCCUGUUAUGCGUCGCCGAAUGUGGACCAAAGGGAGUUUCACAGGCUCCCGAAUGCCAAAAAAGAGAAAAAGGACAUUGACUGCUGCCACCGCGACAGCGGAUAGCAAUAUAGAUAAGCAUAACCACCGACAAAGGAAUCUUAUUACAGUUUUUCCAGGGCUGUUCGGAUUACGACGGUGCCGUCAGGAACAGACAAUCUACUGGAAAUCGGAGUCACACCGCAAGGAAACCAUGGAAGCAUCAAAAACGAGAAAAGCUGGAAAUGUUUGUUUAAAGACGUACGCACAUCUCGAUACGUAUUGAUUUCAUUCAGAAAAAAAAAACAGUUCCAAUAAACUAUCAUUUUAAUUUUAUUGUAUGUUGUACAAAAGAGGAAAACAAUUUUUUUACAUCCAAAAGUAUUAUAGUUUUCUUAUUCUUAUAAAGUUCUUUUUGAUUUAAUUUUUCAUGUCUGGAUGAUGUACGUAUCUAACUGUGACCGUGUACAUUAAAACGGGAAGGCUAUUAUUAGUCAAGCUGUCAAGUACAUUGGACGUACAAACUCCACACGUAUAAUUAGUAAUACAUCAACUUUGUUUCAAUUUGAAACAAAAAGAAACCCGGAACGUCACACGUUACGGACGUUACAAAAAUUACAUGUUAAAGUUA